AUUGAACGCUGGCGGCAGGCUUAACACAUGCAAGUCGAGCGGAGAUGAGGUGCUUGCACCUUAUCUUAGCGGCGGACGGGUGAGUAAUGCUUAGGAAUCUGCCUAUUAGUGGGGGACAACAUUCCGAAAGGAAUGCUAAUACCGCAUACGUCCUACGGGAGAAAGCAGGGGAUCUUCGGACCUUGCGCUAAUAGAUGAGCCUAAGUCGGAUUAGCUAGUUGGUGGGGUAAAGGCCUACCAAGGCGACGAUCUGUAGCGGGUCUGAGAGGAUGAUCCGCCAGACUGGGACUGGGACACGGCCCAGACUCCUACGGGAGGAAGCAGUGGGGAAUAUUGGACAAUGGGGGGAACCCUGAUCCAGCCAUGCGGCGUGUGUGAAGAAGGCCUUAUGGUUGUAAAGCACUUUAAGCGAGGAGGAGGCUACUGAGACUAAUACCCUUGGAUAGUGGACGUUACUCGCAGAAUAAGCACCGGCUAACUCUGUGCCAGCCGCCGCAGUAACAC
rnacentral:rRNA from 1 species